GGUCCAUAGACUUAUCAUCUAAGACUAGUAUCGUUAUGACAACUGACAAGGCGUUGAGGUUCACACAUCAAAUAUUGCAUAAAUGGGAUGACAGUACAUGAAUGCCCAACAGUACAAUUUGAGUACGUGACUUCUCAGAAUCUCUCAACAACACUUGGGUUUAAUUUAAAUACGUAGACUUCUUCUCAGAAUCUCUAUCACCAUGUGGAUUUCUUAGAAUCUCCACACACCACUACCAAACUGAGGACGUAUGUCGCAAUUGAUUUCUAUGGUCUUGCUGGACCAUGUGAAAUAUGAAUUUCUGCUUAUGUUUUGUCUUACUGAUGUAUUUUUUUUUUUUUUUAAUUUUUUAACAGUGGGAUUGAGAAUGCUUUACUGGAACGUUACAAGUUGGAUAAGAAAUUUGUGACUGAGGUUCAGUAUGACAAAGAUGAACGUGUCAUUGUGGAUGUCAAAAAACCUGAGAAAGAACGUGUUACAGACCUGUCCCUCAUGACUUACUACAUGGAGAAGGACGUGAGUGUCGUUUCAGUUUCUUAUCUUCAUACCAGGUGUUAUGUUGUAACUUAAUAUGUAACUAAAUUAAUUUGUCUUUCGUAGAUCAAAGCUCUGCCCCUCUUUCAAGACUAUAAACCAUUUGAAGUCCAUGUUGAGGGAUUAAAGGGUGUCCAUGGAGAACAUCCUUGUGUACUAUGUAGAUGACGUGCCGCCCACCUUCACCAUGCAGAGGCUGACUGGUGGUAUCAUUGCUGUCAUUGUGGUGGUCAGCUUGAUUGUGAUUGCAGGACUUCUGGUCGUGUUCUUCCUCACACGGCGACAGAGGGCCCAGCACAGUGAAGCACAGGUUAGUUCUCAUUUAUUUCAGUAUGGUCCAAACUGUGUGGGUACUUCAUCAAUAGAAAGCAAGCUUUGGCAUUAUAACAUGUUUCCUUCUGUACUUGCAGGCCAGAGAGAUGGAGACCAUGUCUUAAAGCUAUUAAUAAGAAGUCUCGUGUACCCGAGUCUGAGACUGGGAUGUGCCCCAUGCUGAAGCUUAGACCAGCUGUACUUUUUUUGCUUGUCACAUUUUCAUGUUAGAGAAACUAAGUGUCUGUUACGUGGAGUACAGUUUUUGUUUUUAAAUGCUACAUUUUUGCUAUUUAAUGAGGGCUCAUUUUCAAUUGGAUCAACAUUUUAACACUGUACAGUUUGACUUCUGAGUUUUUAAUAAAAUUUGUUUUAAUGUUUAAACAUUGUCGUGCAAGUUUUUAAUUCUGGCAUAUGGCAGAUACACCAGGCAUAUGAUAAUCUAAAUGGAAAAAUCAAAGUCCUUUGAACUAUAGAGCUGUAUUGGUCUUGCUAAAUGAAAAGGACUAACCUAGCACAAAACGAUUCCUAGCUUUUGUUUGCAACCAUUCCUUUUCAGCCCAGGGCAAGCAGUUGAGCUGCACCUGUUCUCUGCCAUAUGAGAUUCACCACAGAAUUCAAAUCUGUGAUGGCAACUCAUUGAAUGGGACUAGUUUUAGUGUGACUGAACUUUGUCCAAAUCAAAUAAUGCAGUGUCAAGUAGACACCAAUUACUUAUGCAUUGCAAAAACUUUUUUUUUUCUUUGGAGGUAUGUGGACGGUUCCUUACCGUAUACGUAGGUACG
rnacentral:lncRNA from 1 species